rnacentral:miRNA from 1 species
CUUCCGGUCGACAAGGUACUUGUACCUCGCCGGCUGGAAGGAAGCCCUUCCGGUCGACGAGGUACAAGUACCUCGCCGGCUGGAAG